GACGAACGCUGGCGGCGUGCUUAACACAUGCAAGUCGAGCGAGGCCCGCUCUUCGGGGUGGUGCCCUAGCGGCGAACGGGUGAGUAACACGUGAGCAACCUGCCCUUGACUCUGGAAUAACAGUUGGAAACAGCUGCUAAUACCGGUUAUGACCUGUCACCGCAUGGUGGUGGGUGGAAAGUUCCGGCGGUCAGGGAUGGGCUCGCGGCCUAUCAGCUUGUUGGUGAGGUAAUGGCUCACCAAGGCUUCGACGGGUAGCCGGCCUGAGAGGGCGACCGGCCACACUGGGACUGAGAUACGGCCCAGACUCCUACGGAGGCAGCAGUGGGAAUAUUGCACAAU
rnacentral:rRNA from 1 species